rnacentral:lncRNA from 1 species
AUGGGCUGGCUAGUGAAGAUUAUAGCACAUAAGCACCUUCCUCAUUUUGCAGGCUGCCUAAUGGUAAUGAGACAGAAUGGAAAGAAACCCACUAUGGAAUCAGACAGACUUAGAAUAAAGUCAAUGUUUCACUAUUUCCACUACUUCUUGGCUCUACGGACAAGCAGCACCCAUCUUAGAAGAUCUGAACUGUUGGAAGGAACACGAUAGAAAACAGAAAAUUAGAUCUUGAAAUGUACAUUCCAGUCUCUUGAGUGCAUAAAAGGGCCGUACUGAAAGGAGAUUUGCUCUGCUCUGAAUCGGUGAAGAACAAUAUGGACAGCGAGACAUGAUAGAGAUGCUGUCAGCUUCCUCCUAGUUCCACCAGGUAGGACCGGACAGUCUCAUCAAAUGAAAUUCUCCUUGGGCUUCAGCACUCGUGGAAGACUCUGCAGUCAUAAAUGUAUGAACCUAAAACUAACAGUUAAGGAAGAGUGACUGAAGGGAAAGAAAGAAUUAGUGAGAAAUUUUGGGAAAAUAAUGUAGGAAUAUCCAAAAAUGGGAAGUGCGAAUAAGCUUUUCUUUUUCUAUUACUGGCCUGUAGAGCGGUAGAUAAAGAUGAGUUAAGGAGCAAUCGUACAAGCCUGCUACACAUCCCUGACUUCUAAAGCUUCUGUUAAAUCUCAUUUUAAUGAGCAAGAAUUGCUCAUCUUUCAC